AACGAACGCUGGCGGCAUGCCUAACACAUGCAAGUCGAACGAGACCUUCGGGUCUAGUGGCGCACGGGUGCGUAACGCGUGGGAACCUGCCCUUAGGUUCGGAAUAACUCCCCGAAAUGGGUGCUAAUACCGGAUAAUGUCUUCGGACCAAAGAUUUAUCGCCUUUGGAUGGGCCCGCGUUGGAUUAGCUAGUUGGUAGGGUAAAAGCCUACCAAGGCGACGAUCCAUAGCUGGUCUGAGAGGAUGAUCAGCCACACUGGGACUGGGACACGGCCCAGACUACUACGGGAGGCAGCAGUGGGGAAUAUUGGAAAAUGGGCGAAAGCCUGAUCAAGCAAUGACGCGUGAGUGAUGAAGGCCUUAGGGUUGUAAAGCUCUUUUACCCGGGAUGAUAAUGACAGUACCGGGAGAAUAAGCUCCGGCUAACUCCGUG
rnacentral:rRNA from 1 species